UACGUAGGGGUGCAAGCGUUGUCCGGAAUCAUUGGGCGUAAAGCGCGCGUAGGUGGUCAUGUAAGUCCGGCUGUGAAAAGCUCGAAAGGCUCAACCUUUGAAAGCCGGUGGAUACUAGCAUGACUGAGAGUACGGAAGAGGCGAGUGGAAUUCCUGGUGUAGCGGUGAAAUGCGUAGAUAGUCGGGAGGAACACCUGUGGCGAAAGCG
rnacentral:rRNA from 1 species